GUGGCCAAUGACAGUCCGCGCGACGGCUGAUCGCGCCGGCGACGGCAAUCUGCACGCGUUGGUGUGGUUGAAGCUUAAGACCACUACUAGCAGUAGCAGCACUACCGACUGGGAUCAGUACCAAACUGUGAUGAAGAAUGAUUCCAGGUGGUACUGGUACUGCACUCUGUACUCCCGCUGCUACGCCAAGCUGACCAUCAAGAAUGGCGUCAUCACCGCUUCUGGAAUACAUGCUCACGAGCGGCCUCAUUACCGCGAGCUAGCCGAUGGCACUUACGUUAAAGUGUAGUACUAGCAGUACCUUUAAUUCUUCAACCACUCCAACGCGUGCAGAUCGCCAUCGCCGGCGCCAUCAUAGGCCAAUGAGAGGUCGCGCGACCCAUGACAGUCCGCGCAACCUGUCAUUGGCCUAUGAUCGCGCCGGCGACGGCAAUCUGCACGCGUUGGUGUGGUUGAAGCUUAAGACCACUACUAGCAGUAGCAGCACUACCGGCUGGGAUCAGUACCAAACUGUGAUGAAGAAUGAUUCCAGGUGGUACUGGUACUGCACUCUGUACUCCCGCUGCCACGCCAAGCUGAUCAUCAAGAAUGGCGUCAUCUCUGCUGGCGGCCUCAAUACCACGAGCUAGCCGAUGGCACUUACAUCAAAGUGUAGUAUCUUUAAUGCUUCAACCACACCAACGCGUGAAGAUCGCCAUCGCCGCCGCGAUCAUAGGCCAAUGACAGGUCGCGCGACCCAUGACAGUCUGUGCACUUAAAGUUAAGGUUCGGCCAAACCAACGCGAUCACACGCGAUCAUCAGCCGGUGUGCAGCGAUGGCGAUCAUUGCAUUUAAGUCUGGUCGCCAUCGCUGCAACCUUUACAUCAAAGUGUAGCACUACUGGCUGAUAUCAGUACCAAACAAUGAUGAAGAAUGGCUCCAGGUUGUACUGCACUCUGUACUUCCGCGGCUACGCCAGGCUGAUACUACAUAUUAGAUUUAAUACUGUAAUUAUAAUACUUCAAAUUACUUUAUCUAACGUACCUACUACGCGUAACUAAAGAAAUAAUGUGCAUAUUAGAUAUUCACCAAACUUUUUCUUAACUCUCUAUCAUGGUGUUGUGGUGACACUGUUAAUUGAAUGUAUUUUUUUCUUUUGGAGACAAAACAUGUAUUUUUUUUAUCACAUUGUCCAUUAAGUUUGCGGAUUGGACAUGUAAUAAAUAAUGUCUCCAAUUUUUUAUUUUUGAUCAAGUUACGAUAUUAUGUUUUGUAUUAUUUUCAAGAACUACAUGUCUUUUUGUAUUUAAAUAAAUAAUUUUCGCAAAAAAAACAUUAUUGUUUCUAAGAUAGUAUAGUCUCUUCUCUCAGUCAAGCUUUUAUAAAAUUACUAAUUUUAACAUUUCCUUAACCAAAGUUCAAAAUGUCAUGCGGAAAUUCGUUAUUUUGCAGGCUGACCUGCUCUACUAUAAAGUAAUCAUGUAAAUCACAAUUCCUUAAAAAUAACCAAUCUAUAAUUUCUUUAACUUUUCUUUGACUUGUAUUUUCCCAGUGAAUAUGAUAACCUCGAACACCGGGAAACGAUACAUCAUGCUGGACGGGUAUACCUACUACCGCCAUUCGAAGGUCAAGGCUGGCUGGAGGUGGAGUUGCACCAACUCGUCCAAGUGCCACGCCAGGGUCGUCGUCGACGACAACGAUCAGAUAGUGAAGGCAGAUGGAGAGCAUAUCCACGAUCGCCCGAAGUACUUCCAGUUAGCUAAUGGCACUUAUGUCAGAAUGUAAAACUAUAGCGCCAUGAUUUAGAUUAUGGCACCGCAAAAAAGUUAACACGUGAAGAAAAACUACAAAAGAAACGUGAAGCGGAAAGGCUAAGAUAUCAAAGGAUUAAAAAUGACCCAGAAAAGUAUAAAUUGCAAAAUCUGAAAGAAAAAGAAAAAUAUUUGAAAAAGAGAGAAAAAGGACUAAUAAAAACUGUCGAUCAAAUGACUCCUAGAGAACAACGUAAAGCACGAAAAAUAUGGAAGAAGAAAGCAAGGGAGCGUAGGCAACGACUUGCUUCUCAAAAUGCAGCUAAUGUUCCAGUUGAUGAUCAAAUACCAAAAAGAAAUUUUCAGUCAAGAGCUUUGGUUGCUAAACUUAAAUCAGACCAAGCAAGAAGGCAACGAUAUUGAAUUAAUAAAAAAAGAUGAAACCAUAAAUAAAUUAAAAACUAAACUGGCAUGUUACAAAAAAUGGUUACAAAGAUUGAGAAAGCGGGAAAAACUUACACCUAACAGCAAAGUGAAAAAAGAGUUGAAUUCCCCAAGUGUUAGAGACACAGUGAAGAAAAAAUUGCUGUAGAUGUGCUCCAUCAACAAUUAAAAGAUAAUUAUUCAGCUCUUCCAAACGAAAAAGAAAAAAGGAUUUUUAGAAGAAUGAUAAGCGGGAGAAGUUUGUGAAAAAAUAUGGGAUACUACAGAACGAAAAAAAUAUAAAACCCUUGAGAAAACUUGGAAAAGUGCAACUAAUUGAUAAUAAAAGGAAAGGCAAAAAAGGUUAUGAAGUAAAAAGAGGAAAAUUGUAGUUUUUCUUGAAGAUGAUUCUAAUUCCAGAUUAUGUGCUGGUAAAAGAGAUUAUAUGACGAAGAAAGGAGAUCGCAAACAAAGAAGAGUUCUCCAGGAUACUCUGAAAAAUCUCCACAGAUCUUUCAUGACGAAGUGCAAGAUAACGAUCUCAUAUUCACUAUUCUGCCGUCUAAAACCAUUUUGACUAAAAACCAGGUUCUAAAACCAGUUUAAUAAAAGUUGAUUUUAUUCAUUUA